GCCCUCGUAGCCCAAUGGCAGAGGCAGAGGACUUAAAAUCCUCCAAGUGUCGGUUCGACCCCGACCGAGGGCA
rnacentral:tRNA from 3 species